rnacentral:lncRNA from 1 species
UUUUCUUUCUUAUCCCAAGAAGACUUAUCACAAGAAGUAAACUCUUUCUUAUACUUUCUUUUCUUGUCAUCUUUAGAAAAUUUAGAAAACUUCUUUUUCUUUUUUGAAGAACCAGGAAUAUUAAAAGCAAAUUGAUCACCAAAUUCUCCUAAUUGCUUUCUUUCAUUCAGUCUAUUCUUUUUCAUAUGAUAAUUCAUCUUAAUAUCAUUACAAACAGCUAAGCCUUCUUGAGUACAAA